CUUGGCUCGACAGGUCAACAAGCUGGGCUGGGCAACAAAAACAUGGCCACACAAAAGCUUUAUUUAUUGGGAAAUUCCUCUGUAGAGUCUCUAUCAGGUGCAGAGUACUCGAAGUUGACAUCGACAUUUUCAGGUCAGUUCAGUGAUUACUGAAUUGAGGGAAAGAUUUCAAUCACAUUCAAUGAAAUCAUAUCGAUCUCGAUUUCAGAGGUAAUCAUCUUUCUUAUCAUGUUAUA